GACGAACGCUGGCGGCAUGCCUAAUACAUGCAAGUCGAGCGAACAGAUGAAGUGCUUGCACUUCUGACGUUAGCGGCGAACGGGUGAGUAAUACGUAAGGAAUCUACCUAUAAGCGGGGGAUAACAUUCGGAAACGGGUGCUAAUACCGCAUAAUAUCUUCUUCCGCAUGGAAGAAGAUUGAAAGACGGCUCUGCUGUCACUUAUAGAUGACCUUGCGGUGCAUUAGUUAGUUGGUGGGGUAACGGCCUACCAAGACGAUGAUGCAUAGCCGACCUGAGAGGGUGAUCGGCCACAUUGGGACUGAGACACGGCCCAACCUCCUACGGGAGGCAGCAUUAGGGAAUCUUCCGCAAUGGGCGAAAGCCUGACGGAGCAAUGCCGCGUGAGUGAAGAAGGCCUUCGGGUCGUAAAACUCUGUUAUAAGAGAAGAACAAAUUGUAGAGUAACUAUGUACGUCUUGACGGUACCUAAUCAGAAAGCCACGGCUAACUACGUGCCAGCAGCCGCCGUAA
rnacentral:rRNA from 1 species